rnacentral:rRNA from 1 species
UACGGAGGAUGCAAGCGUUAUCCGGAAUGAUUGGGCGUAAAGCGUCCGCAGGUGGCUAUGUAAGUCUGCUGUUAAAGAGUGAAGCUCAACCUCAUAAGAGCAGUGGAAACUACAUGGCUAGAGUGCGUUCGGGGCAGAGGGAAUUCCUGGUGUAGCGGUGAAAUGCGUAGAGAUCAGGAAGAACACCGGUGGCGAAAGCGCUCUGCUAGGCCGCAACUGACACUCAUGGACGAAAGCUAGGGGAGCGAAUGGG